AACGCACAUUGCGCCCCUCGGUAUUCCGUGGGGCAUGCCUGUUCGAGCGUCAUCUACACCCUCAAGCUCUGCUUGGUGUUGGGCGUCUGUCCCGCCUCGGCGCGCGGACUCGCCCCAAAUGCAUUGGCAGCGGUCUUUGCCUCCUCUCGCGCAGCACAUUGCGCUUCUCGAGGUGUCGCGGACACGCGUCCAGUAAGCAACAUUUACCGUCUUUGACCUCGGAUCAGGUAGGGAUACCCGCUGAACUUAA
rnacentral:misc_RNA from 1 species